AACGUAGGAGACAAACGUUAUCCGGAGUUACUGGGCGUAAAGGGCGUGCAGGCGGUUGAUUAAGUCUAGCGUGAAAGCUCCCGGCUAAACCGGGAGAGGUCGUUGGAUACUGGUUGACUAGAGGACGGUAGAGGCGAGUGGAAUUCCGGGAGUAGUGGUGAAAUGCGUAGAGAUCCGGAGGAACACCAGUGGCGAAGGCGACUCGCUGGGCCGUACCUGACGCUAAGACGCGACAGCAUGGGGAGCGAACGGG
rnacentral:rRNA from 1 species